UUCUCACGCACGAAUCCCUUUUUCCCAUUUUUCACAAGCCAUCGUUCAGGCGUUCACGCACGGUCGCCGGACAAUCAAGCGACCAAUCAAGCAGGUGAGGCUGCGAGAGACCCAAACUGGUGCUAUUUCAUCUCCAUCUGCACUCUCCAAAUUAUGUCGAUAAUGGGAGAAAACGAUGAUUUAAGAAAUAUAUCUUCCUCAGCUGUGUCAUCUAAGGAACCUGAUAUUGUGAUGGAGACUCCAACAAGUACAAAAAACAAAAGGAAAGGGAAAAUACCGUUGAAGCUACAAGUGAAAGAGAUACAAAACAAACAAUCUCAGAUUUUGAAUCUAAGACACAAUGCAAUGCUGAUGGGACUAUUGAAGCAAUUAGU